rnacentral:pre_miRNA from 1 species
CUCGAAGAUUUGAAGACUUCAAUUUGUAGACUUGGAGUAUUUGAAGACUUCAAAUGACAGGAUUGAACAAUUUGAAGAUUUCAGCU